rnacentral:rRNA from 1 species
UACGUAGGGGGCAAGCGUUGUCCGGAAUCAUUGGGCGUAAAGAGCGUGUAGGCGGUCCGGCAAGUCGGCUGUGAAAGUCCAGGGCUCAACCCUGGGAUGCCGGUCGAUACUGCCGGACUAGAGUUCGGAAGAGGCGAGUGGAAUUCCCGGUGUAGCGGUGAAAUGCGCAGAUAUCGGGAGGAACACCUAUGGCGAAGGCAGCUCGCUGGGACGUUACUGACGCUGAGACGCGAAAGCGUGGGGAGCAAACAGG